GUUAGUCCCUUUUAAUAUCCGUUUUGUGAAAUGAGGUGAGUCAAGUGGUUAUUACAGAACAUGUGGUGUUUUUUCUUUACUCAAUUUGUUUUAUAUUUCAGGGGUGGAUUGGAACUUGCUGCUAUAAACUAAAAGGUUCGCAUUCAUGAAACAAACAAGAUGAUGAAAUACUUGAUAAUGGAAUAAAUUAAACUAAGGAGCUGCCUGGAGACUUAUUACCUCUUUAUGUUACCACAAGUGAAACUGGCUAAGAGAGGUGAAUCUAGUUCCUGUGGCCAGACUGAAUACGAUGCACAUCUAAAAAAUAGAUCCUAAUGAGGAUAAACCAGAAGAGCUAUUAGAUUGAAUUUGUGCAUGAGAUCAAACCAGAAGUGAUAUUUGGAAUCAAAUUGAACAUUUAAAUUUAGAAUUCAAUUGAAGAUUGGAAUAUAUAAAUUGAAAAUCUACACACCUUCAUUAAUUUUAAAGCAAGGACUUCUUGGUUCUUGAAGGAUAUAAUGGAAUGGCACUGGAAAAAAAAAAAGAAUACCGUCACAAAACUGCAUAGUGAACAGAAGACCAAGGAGUGGAUUUGAAAAACAAAGAAUAUAUGAGGAUGGACUAGUACAACUGAACGCCACUUUAGCAAAGCUGCACGACGAAAAUAAGAAUGAGGAUGGUGUGCUGCAUAUACCAGUAUGCCUAAACUACCGUGAUCUAUCUGGAUGAGGAAUUAAUCCAAUGAAGUAUACAAGAUGUGGCACACUUGCAAACAAUUGUUGCAAAAGAUUGACUGUAUGGUUCCAACUUAUUAGAAUGAAUACUAUUAGGUGCUGAAUGAGUCUGGGCUAACACGGCUAGGGCAUGGUAGACACCAUGUUAUCGAGGCACGUUCGUCGCCAACCUGAAUUGUCACAAGUAAGUAACUAUUUAACAGCCUGUAUUGUCUUUCACUGGAGAGUAAAAUCUUUUUCAUACAGGAAAAAUGAUGAACUACUUAGUUAUCCCUGGCUCACAAAACCGUGGGGAAAAUAUGGUAUGGUAACAUCUGAAAUGACACAAAGAGAAUUACAAAAGAUAUGUAUAUGAACCUGUAUUAAUAACAAUGUUGCUUUGUUCUCGGGUCUGAACGUUGCAAACUCACAAGUUAUUGGCAAGUUUCAAGGUGCUGAAUGAGUCUGGGCUAACACGGCUAGGGCAUGGUAGACACCAUGUUAUCGAGGCACGUUCGUCGCCAACCUGAAUUGUCACAAGUAAGUAACUAUUUAACAGCCUGUAUUGUCUUUCACUGCUAUAUCUACAUUUGUAUUCUUUGAAUAAAUGCUGUAGGAGAGUAAAAUCUUUUUCAUACAGAAAAAAUGAUGAAUUACUUAGUUAUCCCUGGCUCACAAAACCGUGGGGAAAAUAUGGUAUGGUAACAUCUGAAAUGACACAAAGAGAAUUACAAAAGAUAUGUAUAAUGAACCUGUAUUAAUAACAAUGUUGCUUUGUUCUCGGGUCUGAACGUUGCAAACUCACAAGUUAUUGGCAAGUUUCAAGACCACAUUAUAGACUACUAUGGAGAAAAUAUAUACCUGCAGGUACAUAAACUGAAGUUGGAAAAAAACAGUGUCAAUUAUUAUGGUUAUUAGUUAAUAUAAAUAUAUUGAUAUUGACCUAUUAAAAUAAAUGAGUUGCGCAUAAAUGUAGUUAUCUUUUUGAAAAUACCGCAAACAUCCGUAAAGUGCUUGAUAAGGCACAAAACUGCAGUAGGAGGACCUAUAAUUUCAGAUUGCCAGUCGGCAGUUUGAACGGAAACAAGUAACAUGCAUUUUGUGCAGAUUAUUGAAAGUGCUACAAAUGUAGAAAGUGACACAAUUUGCAAAGUGAAGGUACAAUGUCUAUGGACAAUCGAUGGCAAUGGAAGAAUCGAAUAUAGGAGGAAGGACCGUUAGAGUUCAAAAACUCAUUUGGACCAUGGGGAAAACAAACGCAAUUUCCAAUUAAAAUAACUUUUAUUGAAUAAAAUGUAACAUUGAUCAAUGAA